rnacentral:lncRNA from 1 species
UCGUUGGGCCCAAAUAUUAGCCCAAAAUGCUUAAGCCCAGUUAUUAUUACUAGUGUCUAAUUCUCUUAUAUACCCAAUCACAUCCCCUAUCCCUAUUCCCAUCCGAUGUGGGAUUAUUGGGGUGUGACAGACUCCCCCCGCCAUUCCCAUCCGAUGUGGAAUUAUUGGGGUGUGACAGACUCCCCCCGUUAAGGCCUUAGCGUCCUCGUCAGUCCAAUUACACACAUAGCCUAAGAUCACCAGUCGAUGUGAGACUCGUUUUUCUAGCCUUGUCAGCCAGACCCUGACAUAGCCGGUCACCUUGUUAUAUAGACUCUGGUAUAGCUUAUCAUUUUGUCUUUCAGACCCUGCCUCAGCCGAGACUCGCCACAAAUUUUCGACUUUGGCUCUGAUACCAAAAGUAAUGACCCAGCCCACUAGCAACAAUAUCUCGUUGGGCCCAAACACCAGCCCAAAAUGCUUAAGCCUAAUUAUUAUUACUAGUGUCUAAGUCUCUUAUAUACCCAAUCACAUCCCCAUUCCUAUUCGAUGUGGGAUUAUUGGGUGUGACAGUCACUUCAGUUUAGAAAGAAUUAAUAUACAGACUCUUUCAU